rnacentral:rRNA from 1 species
GAUGAACGCUGGCGGUAUGCUUAACACAUGCAAGUCGAACGGACUCUUCGGAGUUCGUGGCGGACGGGUGAGUAACGCAUGAGAAUCUGGCUUUGGGUUCGGGACAACCACUGGAAACGGUGGCUAAUACCGGAUGUGCCGAGAGGUAAAAGAGAAAUUGCCUGAAGAUGAGCUCGCGUCUGAUUAGCUAGUUGGUGAGGUAAAGGCUCACCAAGGCAGCGAUCAGUAGCUGGUCUGAGAGGAUGACCAGCCACACUGGGACUGAGACACGGCCCAGACUCCUACGGGAGGCAGCAGUGGGGAAUUUUCCGCAAUGGGCGAAAGCCUGACGGAGCAAUACCGCGUGAGGGAAGAAGGCUCUUGGGUUGUAAACCUCUUUUCUUAGGGAAGAACAAAAUGACGGUACCUAAGGAAUCAGCAUCGGCUAACUCCGUG